rnacentral:lncRNA from 1 species
GAUUAAGCGGACGGCUCCCUCUCUUUUGGAGGGCUCCUGCAUGCAGAAGGAAUCACACUUGUGUGUGGCCCUGCACCAGAUGCCUCAAGCAUCGACUUUCAAGGGGAGCUCUUUGUCAGACCCAUUGUACAGGUGAGGACACCGAGACUUGGAAGAUGGGCAAUUUCCUGAGGCUGCGCAGCUAUGGGGAACAGGGCAUGAGAGGACCAACCAGCCUGACGCUGCGGCCCGUAGUGACACGGUGCAGCCAUUGGAAGAUAUGCAGUUUUACAACCUUGAGGCUCACCGCUGUCUCUCUGGUGGCUUCUGUCAUCCAGCCCCGGUCACCGCACCCAACCACAGGACGCUGGGACACAUGGCUUUGGUUACAACCUCUCACGCCUGUGCAGGGUCUGCUGUAGCUGGCUAGUGUGGGUCGCUGGAUCCAAUUAUUAAGCCUUCUGGAGUCUUAUAAGCCAGCAUCAUUAAAAAUCAAGUAAGCUUACAAUUAGAUUAGAUUUAAAAAGACAAUAAGUAUUCAAAACUCACCACUUCCUAAUCAUUUCCCUACAUUUUGUAUUAUUUAUGCUCUCGGGGGCAUUCACAUUUAUUGUGUCUGUGUGGUGGAAACUCUGCGUUCGGUGACUUCACACGAGUUGCUUGGAAUUGGCUGUGGCGGGAAGUAGUUACACCACAGAAACUGGCAGGCUCCACAAGUCAGGACUCACCUAGCUCAAGAGCUCAU